rnacentral:rRNA from 1 species
CGUGUAGGCGGGUGAAUAAGUCAGAAGUGAAAUCCAAUAGCUCAACUAUUGAACUGCUUUUGAAACUGUAUACCUAGAAUGUGGGAGAGGCAGAUGGAAUUUCUGGUGUAGGGGUAAAAUCCGUAGAGAUCAGAAGGAAUACCGAUUGCGAAGGCGAUCUGCUGGAACAUUAUUGACGCUGAGACGCGAAAGCGUGGGAGCAAACA